ensembl:lncRNA
UAUUGUUUUAAUACUGAUGAUUUUGGCAUACAGCUCAUAAAAACCCAAAAUUCCUAUCUCAAAAAAUAAGCAUAUCAUGAAAAGGUUCUCUAAACGAGCUAUUAACCUAAUCAUCUGAAUCAACUAAUUAACUCUAAACACCUACAAAAGAUUCCUGAGGCUUUUAAAAACUCCCAGCCUGGUUCAUUACUCAAAACCGCAAUCAUGGGUAAGACUGCCGACCUGACUGCUGUCCAGAAGGCCAUCAUUGACACCCUCAAGCGAGAGGGUAAGACACAGAAAGAAAUUUCUGAACAAAUAGGCUGUUCCCAGAGUGCUGUAUCAAGGCACCUCAGUGGGAAGUCUGUGGGAAGGAAAAAGUGUGGCAAAAAACGCUGCACAACGAGAAGAGGUGACCGGACCCUGAGGAAGAUUGUGGAGAAGGACCGAUUCCAGACCUUGGGGACCUGCGGAAGCAGUGGACUGAGUCUGGAGUAGAAACAUCCAGAGCCACCGUGCACAGGCGUGUGCUUUUGAACCAGAAACAGCGGCAGAAGCGCCUGACCUGGGCUACAGAGAAGCAGCACUGGACUGUUGCUCAGUGGUCCAAAGUACUUUUUUCGGAUGAAAGCAAAUUUUGCAUGUCAUUCGGAAAUCAAGGUGCCUGAGUCUGGAGGAAGACUGGGGAGAAGGAAAUGCCAAAAUGCCUGAAGUUCAGUGUCAAGUACCCACAGUCAGUGAUGGUCUGGGGUGCCAUGUCAGCUGCUGGUGUUGGUCCACUGUGUUUUAUCAAGGGCAGGGUCAAUGCAGCUAGCUAUCAGGAGAUUUUGGAGCACUUCAUGCUUCCAUCUGCUGAAAAGCUUUAUGGAGAUGAAGAUUUCGUUUUUCAGUGUUCAGUUAUGCACUCAAUACUUGGUCGGGAAUCCUUUUGCAGAAAUGACUGCUUCAAUGCGGCGUGGCAUGGAGGCAAUCAACCUGUGGCACUGCUACGGUGUUAUGGAGGCCCAGGAUGCUUCGAUAGCGGCCUUUAGCUCAUCCAGAGUAUUGGGUCUUGCGUCUCUCAACUUUCUCUUCACAAUAUCCCACAGAUUCUCUAUGGGGUUCAGGUCAGGAGAGUUGGCAGGCCAAUUGAGCACAGUAAUACCAUGGUCAGUAAACCAUUUACCAGUGGUUUUGGCACUGUGAGCAGGUGCCAGGUCGUGCUGAAAAACAAAAUCUUCAUCUCCAUAAAGCUUUUCAGCAGAUGGAAGCAUGAAGUGCUCCAAAAUCUCCUGAUAGCUAGCUGCAUUGACCCUGCCCUUGAUAAAACACAGUGGACCAACACCAGCAGCUGACAUGGCACCCCAGACCAUCACUGACUGUGGGUACUUGACACUGGACUUAAGGCAUUUUGGCAUUUCCUUCUCCCCAGUCUUCCUCCAGACUCUGGCACCUUGAUUUCCGAAUGACAUGCAAAAUUUGCUUUCAUCCGAAAAAAGUACUUUGGACCACUGAGCAACAGUCCAGUGCUGCUUCUCUGUAGCCCAGGUCAGGUGCUUCUGCCGCUGUUUCUGGUUCAAAAGCACACGCCUGUGCACGGUGGCUCUGGAUGUUUCUACUCCAGACUCAGUCCACUGCUUCCGCAGGUCCCCCAAGGUCUGGAAUCGGUCCUUCUCCACAAUCUUCCUCAGGGCCCGGUCACCUCUUCUAGCUGUGCAGCGUUUUUUGCCACACUUUUUCCUUCCCACAGACUUCCCACUGAGGUGCCUUGAUACAGCACUCUGGGAACAGCCUAUUCGUUCAGAAAUUUCUUUCUGUGUCUUACCCUCUUGCUUGAGAGUGUCAAUGAUGGCCUUCUGGACAGCAGUCAGGUCGGCAGUCUUACCCAUGAUUGCGGUUUUGAGUAAUGAACCAGGCUGGGAGUUUUUAAAAGCCUCAGGAAUCUUUUGCAGGUGUUUAGAGUUAAUUAGUUGAUUCAGAUGAUUAGGUUAAUAGCUCGUUUAAGGAAACUUUUCAUGAUAUGCUAAUUUUUUGAGAUAGGAAUUUUGGGUUUUCAUGAGCUGUAUGCCAAAAUCAUCAGUAUUAAAACAAUAAAAAGACCUGAAAUAUUUCAGUUGGUGUGCAAUGAAUCUAAAAUGUAUGAAAGUUUAAUUUUUAUCAUUACAUUAUGAAAAAUAAUGAACUUUUAUCACAAUAUGCUAAUUUUUUGAGAAGGACCUGUAUUAUUUUAUUUUUUAACCGAAGCAUUUACACAUGUUAGAUUGCACCCCAUAAACACAAUAAAGCCAAGAAAAAAAUAAAUAAAAUCAACCACCCCUUUAACAAAAUAUGGUGGAGGAUCAACUCAUAUAAGUCGAUGCCAGAGAGAAGAUGCUACCAUGUUAUUGAUAAUCAGUGUACACCCCCUAUAUGAUAUUUUUGGAAGCAAAUAGUAAAAGAAAAAAAACUUUAGACGGAGGACAUAAGUCACCAUUAACUUUAAAUAUGCUCUCAAUGUCACUGUACAAAACUUUUAUCAUGGAAAUAAAGUUUGGACUAUAACCAAACGCUGCUAAAACAUUCCAUAAAUAAUUGUGCUCAACAGAAUCAAAAGCCUUUUCCUGGUCUAAAGCCACCAGACCAAAAUCUAAGUUAAGACUCUUAACAAAAUCCAAAUCAUCCCUAAUAAAAUAUAUAUUAUCAGAAAUUUGUCUGCCAGGUUCACAAUAAAUCUGUUCAGAAUGGAUCACUUGUUCCAAUACUUCUUCCAAUCUAUUAGCUAGAGCCUUGAAGUGCAAUUUCCACCUACUCCAGAGUAAAAGCUUUACUGAGUUCAGCAUUAGCUUUUUGGAUAACUGAGGUACAUUCUCAAGGAAGACAUUAGCAGCAGUUUGUUCAUGGGUGAGUUCACUUUUGUACAGUUUUUCAUAAAAAGUUGUAUUUUUAUAUAAAAUGUUUCAAAAUGUGUUGAAUCACCAAGGGCCGGAGUGGGGCCACUUUUCAGCCCGGGAGAUUCAGGCUCAAGACCGGCUCACUUUUUCCAUGGUGGAAUUCCAAAUUAGCACUUUUUCCAAAUUGGAUAAAUGAAGCAACAGUUCAGCUCUUACUAUUGUGUGUUUUUAUUAAUACCAUGGUUCAACAAAUAAUGUAAAGGUUAAAUAAUAAUUCACUUAAGCUGAGAAGUUAACAAAAAAUAUCCCACUAUUCCACAAGGAUAGGUUGAUAAAUUAACAAAAGCAUAAAUAAAUAAAUAAAUAAAUAAAUAAAGCAUUUGAAAUGUAUCCCACUCUUCCACAAAGAGGCAUAUUGAACUAAUUUUUACAGUUCAAGUCACAGUACAGUUUACGGUUACAUUGCGAAUAGCACCAACAGCAUCUACAGCAUCAGUAGCCGCCUAAGCAGUGCACUGGUUUCAGCCACUUUAUCGAUAUCCGUGUCGUUGCUUAUAGACAUGUGGAUUUCCUUCUCUGUGCACAUUAACA